UGAUGAAUAUAUAUUAACAAAACUGAGAAGAAAUGACAAAAAAUAGAAGCUCAUUUGUUUCUGUUCAGAAUGUCAGGCACCAAAGUGCCCUGUGAUUAUGCAGCGCUGUUCUAUAGUACUAGUUUGGAGAAGAGACAUUUUUUCGAGCACCCAGAAUGGCCUGGGAUGUAUCUAGCAUGGUGAAGAAAUCAUAUGCCAAGCUGGAGGGUGCAGAGAUGACCCAAGCAUCCAUCAAUGCCAAAGACGGAAAGUUGGAAGUGUGCCACUGCACAAUCUGCUUUCCUUGGGGCAGUUGCUUAUGCAACAGGCCAAAGGGCCAUGCUGCCCCAAUAGGCACGAAAUCAUGCCAAGAGGCCUUCAUGGAAGCUCACUAGGCCACGAGCCCAGUAUGGGGACUUUCCCAUGGACUGGACAGUUGGAGAGGUUGGAGUCUUUGGGAAGAACCAAAA
rnacentral:lncRNA from 1 species